GAUGAACGCUAGCUACAGGCUUACCACAUGCAAGUCGAGGGGCAGCAUGGUCUUAGCUUGCUAAGGCCGAUGGCGACCGGCGCACGGGUGAGUAACACGUAUCCAACCUGCCGUCUACUCUUGGACAGCCUUCUGAAAGGAAAAUUAAUACAAGAUGGCAUCAUGAGUCCGCAUGUUCACAUGAUUAAAGGUAUUCCGGUAGACAAUGGGGAUGCGUUCCAUUAAAUAGUAGGCGGGGUAACGGCCCACCUAGUCUUCGAUGGAUAGGGGUUCUGAGAGGAAGGUCCCCCACAUUGAAACUGAAACACGGUCCAAACUCCUACGGGAGGCAGCAGUGAGGAAUAUUGGUCAAUGGGCGAGAGCCUGAACCAGCCAAGUAGCGUGAAGGAUGACUGCCCUAUGGGUUGUAAACUUCUUUUAUAAAGGAAUAAAGUCGGGUAUGCAUACCCGUUUGCAUGUACUUUAUGAAUAAGGAUCGGCUAACUCCGUG
rnacentral:rRNA from 1 species